AUGGCAGCCCUGGAAACCAGCAUCCUCCUUUGAACCACAGAAUAGGAACAACACAGGCAGGGCUGCACUGCAAACCUCCCCAUAUUCCCCAGCCAACCUGCCUUAGCCCUGAUCUUGAGGCAUCAUUUCUAGGGAUGAGAGAGUUCAGUCUUCACCCUCCUGUUCUUCUCAGAA
rnacentral:sRNA from 1 species